UGGGGAAUUUUGGACAAUGGGCGCAAGCCUGAUCCAGCCAUGCCGCGUGCGGGAAGAAGGCCUUCGGGUUGUAAACCGCUUUUGUCAGGGAAGAAAUCUUCUGAGUUAAUACCUUGGGAGGAUGACGGUACCUGAAGAAUAAGCACCGGCUAACUACGUGCCAGCAGCCGCGGUAAUACGUAGGGUGCAAGCGUUAAUCGGAAUUACUGGGCGCAAAGCGUGCGCAGGCGGUUUUGUAAGACAGAGGUGAAAUCCCCGGGCUCAACCUGGGAACUGCCUUUGUGACUGCAAGGCUUGAGUGCGGCAGAGGGGGAUGGAAUUCCGCGUGUAGCAGUGAAAUGCGUAGAUAUGCGGAGGAACACCGAUGGCGAGGGCAAUCCCCUGGGCCUGCACUGACGCUCAUGCACGAAAGCGUGGGGAGCAAAACAGGAUUAGAUAGCCUGGUAGUCCACGCCCUAAACGAUGUCAACUGGUUGUUGGGAAAGGUUCCUUCUCAGUAACGUAGCUAACGCGUGAAGUUGACCGCCUGGGGAGUACGGCCGCAAGGUUGAAACUCAAAUGAAUUGAC
rnacentral:rRNA from 1 species